AAAAUAUUGAAACAUAAGUUCACGUUGGCUCUGUUUUCUGCUUCACUAUACAAAAAGAGUUUUGAAUAUUUUUAUAGAGUAACUAUCUGCCGAUCCACUCGAAAACAUCCGCAAGCUUAACAUUUUUUCGACAUCCGCGUAUUUCGGUUAGCCGUUGUCACCGGUUUCGAGAAGUUCUCCCUGGGCAGAAAAAACUGACCCGCACAGUAGCAGUUUGAGCUACCUGCGCCAGCGCCGCACCCUGUCUCAACAGCCCUUAUCAUCCUCAAAAAUAAAUACAAAAUCCAGGAAACAAGAGCGGGCCACCCACGUCGACAGACAGCGCGGGCAGACUGGUAUCGUCAGACAAAAGUAUUAGCUGACUGUUGGUGCCUGCGACUCAAGAUGCGAGUAUGCCUGCGCACAAUGACGUGACUAUCUCCUUGCAGAAAAAAUCCUGGUAGGUUCAAGUCAUUUAAAACCGCUGUUAUCGCAAUUAAUGCAUUGAAGAAAUUGAACGAUUAGGAGGAAUAUAAGUAAUGGGUUUCAUAUUCAUAAGUAUAAAUAUGAAAAUGUAAACCGUUUCAGCUUGGAAAUUUUGUAACUUUAGUUAAACCCCAUUCACUGCUAAGUUUAACUCUCUCUUUCUUUAAUAGAUUAUAAUACCGCAUGUUUAACAUAAGUAUAAUAAUACUUGUAUUGUAAAGAAUUGGGCAGUAUUAAAUGACUAAAGUAUUAAAUUAAGUUUUAAUAUCACGGUCUCAA